UCACAAAUAAUCGAAAAGUACGGAACUUUAUCGAGUUAUCUAAGACACACUUUGUACGUCUUUGUGUAUCAAGCAUGCGCCAAAUACACUUGAAAUUUUUGGAUUGACUAUAUGUUAGAUAAUAAGUGUAGACGUUUUUGUAAAUCUACAAAUAUAGACUGCAGUUGAAGUCUACGUCGUAAAUUCUAUUAAAAGUACAUUUGUGUAUUAUUCAUCAUAUUUUUUCAUGAUUUAAUUAUUUUACAGUGUAUGUUAGUAAAAUUUUAAUGGUCUUGGAUGAAUUUCACAAGUUAAUGUGUUAUAAUUUUACACUUGACACUUAUUGCAAAUUGUUUUGAUUAGUUUUACUCUUGAAACUUUUUGAGAAAAUUUUGUAUAGAUUUUCUUCUUCUCACAUGUGUGUUAGUUAUUAUUUUAGCUUAUGGUGGUUUUACUUGUUUGGUUGGUUAGAUCUUGUGAAAAAAUUGAUAUCA
rnacentral:lncRNA from 1 species